AGGGAGUAGAAAAAUCGUACAAGUAAUUUUUAUACUGGUUCGAUUCAAAAGAAUCUACGUCCAGUCGUUAAUCAGUAUAUACAGUGAUUAACAGUUCCACUAAAAAGAUGUUUCUCAAAUUGUAAUUAUAGUGAAUGAAAAGCAAAUAAAUAAACCUUCCUUCGACGAGCGAACCGGAAGAAGAUCACUCUGCCAACUCGAAGAGAACCUCUCCGACAAUCGACCAACGAUUCGCGAGCUUCUCCUGUUCACGAGACCAGGCAGAGCACCUUGCUAACUCGAAGAGAGUCUGCUCCGGCUAUCGACACCCG
rnacentral:lncRNA from 1 species